rfam:Pseudomassariella vexata strain CBS 129021 BCR38scaffold_27, whole genome shotgun sequence.
GGUGUUAUAGUAUAGUGGUCAGUACAACACGUUGUGGCUUAUUCAAUCUAUAACUUGUCCGUGUAGACCCCGGUUCGAUUCCGGGUAACGCCA